rnacentral:rRNA from 1 species
CGGGGCGAACGGGUGAGUAACGCGUGAGGACCUGCCUCAAAGAGGGGGACAACAGUUGGAAACGACUGCUAAUACCGCAUAAGUCGGCAUCGAAAAAGGAGCAAUCCGCUUUGAGAUGGCCUCGCGUCCGAUUAGCUAGUUGGUGAGGUAACGGCCCACCAAGGCGACGAUCGGUAGCCGGACUGAGAGGUUGAACGGCCACAUUGGGACUGAGACACGGCCCAGACUCCUACGGGAGGCAGCAGUGGGGAAUUUUGGACAAUGGGGGCAACCCUGAUCCAGCCAUGCCGCGUGCAGGAUGAAGGCCUUCGGGUUGUAAACUGCUUUUGUCAGGGACGAAAAGGACCGUGUUAAUACCGUGGUCUGCUGACGGUACCUGAAGAAUAAGCACCGGCUAACUACGUGCCAGCAGCCGCGGUAAUACGUAGGGUGCAAGCGUUAAUCGGAAUUACUGGGCGUAAAGCGUGCGCAGGCGGUUCUGUAAGACAGAUGUGAAAUCCCCGGGCUCAACCUGGGAAUUGCAUUUGUGACUGCAGGACUAGAGUUCAU